AGGAUAAUGGAAGAUGAAAAGCAAGAGACAUAUGGAGACUGGUGCACAUGGCUGGGGUUAGGGGUGACUGCCCCUCAGUGAGGAUUUGGACACCAGGAGUCCCUCGAGGCACCACACACGGCAAGAAUGACUAACCCUCCUUGGGAGGGCUGGAGGGGAGUUCAUGGAGGGAGGGUGUCUGAACGGACUUUUGGAGAAAGUACAAACGUUCCCAGUUCCACAGAGCUGAGAUAAGGUGAGUGGAGCUUAACCGAAGGGAAUCUGUGGAAAGGUCAGCAGAGAGGAUAGGAAGUAUGGAGGCACAGAGUGUGUGAGCACGCUGCUGUGGAGGGAGGGGAGGCAGCUGGUCCAAGUAGUCUGGGAGCUUGGGAGGCAUGAGAGGAGAGGAUGAGAGCCUGAAACGAUGCCGAGACAAGGGUGUGUAAAUAGAUCCCAGAGGCAAGUAGUUAAUGCAGUCCAGCUGCUCCUCUCUCUUGACCUGGUGGUACCAGCUUCCUGAAGGAGCCAUGAAGAGGAUUCUAACCCAUCUGAAGGGUCCUUUUCAAGAGACUGUUUCUGACAGGUAAGUUUUAGAACAUAAGAUCAGCAAUAUACACCAAGAUCAUCUUUGUGUGUUUAGAGAUGGUGUUACUAUGUAACCUUGGCUGGCAUGGAACUUGCUUUGUAGUCAGGCUGACCUCAAAUUCUUAGAGAUCCAUCUGCCUCUGUAUCCUGAGUGCUGGAAUUAAAAGUGUAUCUCGGGUACUUUACCUGCUGAAUCCUGCAAGUUCUAAGAUAUGGAAUCAGGGAUACUCGGGGAGCUUUGGCUAGCUACUAACUAACUAGACAAAGCUAGUUCACCUGUUUAACUAGCAGUCCCAUGGCAUGGAUUAUGUCUAUAUAAAUGCAGUUCUUAGUCAAGCUGUGUGGGGAUGUGUGAUUUCAGUUCUAUUCUUGUUUGGAUUUUUGUUUUUCUUGGAGGUGAUUAUGUCUUGUUUUCUUUUGCUUGGUUUCUAUGUACCCAUCACUAAAUCUUUUUUUGGCCCCUUUGACAGGACAAUGCGCUGACUGAAUCUGACAGGUACUUUAUUAUGUCCAGUUAUAUUGCAAAUACUGUGCUGUGCUGGCUCCGGGGGACUCACCUAGGAACAAGACAGACAUGAUCCCUUCUUCCCCUGAGUUUCUGGUGUAGUGAGGGGUAACGUACAAAGCACAGCCUUCCUUUGGUAUCCAUGAGCAAUUGGUUCUAGAACACCCCCCUCCUUCAGCAGACACUCAGACCCACAGAUGCUAAGAUCACUUACUUAAUAUGGAAUAAUAUUUACGCAUCAUCCCAUACACUCCGGGUCCUAUCUAGAGUGCUUCCGAUGCCUGCCACAAUACAAGUGCAGUGUAAACAGUUAUACUGUACUGGUUAGGGACUAAGGACAUGAAGAUCAUGUCUGUACACUUUCAGUGCAGAUGUAACUUUGUUCCCUGUCUAUUUUCAGUCCUUGAUUGGCUGGAUCCCAUAGGGGUGGAAAUUAUAAACCUACAAUGUGAGUGAAAACAGAGACCAUGUCUGUCUUGCUCGUAGCUGAAUUCCCAGUACCAGCCUUGCAUAUGACUGAAGAUGAUAAAUUGCCCAACAGCUUUGGUCACCGUGUUGUUCUGUCAAGGGACCAACUGUAAUUGUAAUUAAAUGUUAUAAUGAGAGAAUGUGUGGAUCCUCUGGGGACGUGUAGCAGAAACCCCUCACCCAGGGAGACAGGAAAGAGUGCAUAAUUGAGGAGUAGAUGGAAACAAUUUACUCCUGCAAUCCAGUUAUCAAGUACCACUCUGAAUGCAGAGAAUACAGCACUUAGCAACCCAAGGCAGCAAGCUGCUUGCCUUUCCGGAGCUUGCAUUCUAGCGAGGGGAGAAGGUAAAUAAACAUAGAAGAUGAUUUCCAAUAAAAACAAAACCAAUAAAAUUAACAGUGGUGUCGUGGGGACGGGUGAGCAGGAAGUGCGGCAUGAGGCUAUUUUAGGCAUAUUGGUCAUGGAAUGUCUUCCUGAUAAUGCUGAACAUGCGCUCUGAGACAUGGAAGCAGCUAGCUCCAUGAAGAGAAAGGAACCCGGAAUGCAAGAUCCUCUGGAGGCAGAGCACAGUGAAAAGAACAUUAAGGUCCAAGGUAAGUGGUAGUGGCUAGCACUGAGGAAAUGGACAUAAGCUCCAAGUUGCCUGUCCUACAGUGUCACUGGUAAGCCCCUCCACUGCAGGCUAUUUGUCCACUUAUUGUAAGACUCAUUCCCAACGGCUCGUGAGGCCCCAUCCGUCCCAGAGGAGCUACUGGCAGUUAAUUGCUGGGUGUCGGGUGGCGCAGAGGGGUCAUUUGUUUAGUGGGAUAGCCACUGGAAAGUUGCUUAUGAUCAUGCAAGUAACCCAUGUGAACUCAUGGGCCAGUGAGAGGGACGGAGGGAGAGGUUGGGAAGAAAAGGUUCAAUGGAAGUGGGAGGGGAAUGGGAAGUGGUAAUGGUGCAAAUAUGAUAAAAAUACAUUAUAUGCCUGAAGUUACCAAAGAAUAAAUAAAAACACUGAAA
rnacentral:lncRNA from 1 species